CUGUAAAAAACAAGAUAACGAUUGUAUUAGCAGAAGAAAUGUUUUGCUAAUAAAUAAAGGUUUAAAAUAAGCAUUUUCUCUAGAUAAUCAGUUUAAGAAAAAAUGUCAGUCUUGGCCUUUAAACAUUUUCAGAGAUGGAGAUGGGCCCUGAAGUGAAAAAGGUUGAGAACCCCUGAUAUAUAACAUUAUAUCCAAACAGCAUAUAAUAAACGAAUUAGUACAAAAUAAUGAUAAGAUAAAACCUGAAACUGAAUAUUGAGUAGGAGGUGGGGUUUUAUUGUUCUGCACCUCCUCUUAGCUUGAGAGGGGCGUGGCUACAAAUAUUUCUCCCAGUCAUCAGGGAAUACCUCCAGAGCAGAAGCAAUUGUUCAAUAGCCACAACCGAAAUUACUGACAGCCCGCCCUAAAUUACUGAUAGCCACGCCCUUAAAGUAUGAAAGCCCCACCCUAAAUAAUUGAUAGCCUCGCCCUAAAUUACAGACAGUCCCCCCAAAAGUCUGAUAGCCCCUGCCUAAACUACUGAUAGCCCCACCCUAAAGGACUGAUAGCCUCACCCUAAAUUAUUGAUAGCCCUGCCCUAAAGUCUGAUAGUCCCACCCUCAAGUCUGAUAGUCCCACCCUCAAGGAGUGAUAGCCCCGCCUUAUCUCACUGAUAACGCCGCCCUAAAUGACUGAUAGCCCCACCAGACCCAUCCGGGAUCGAGGGGUUGAUUGUCGCGGACAAAAGUGUGUGGGGGGGUUAGGGGAGUGUUGUGUGUCAGCAACGAAGGUGAAGAGCGGAGGGAGAGUGUCGCUGCCUAAAGAGUGGAAAGGGGGCGACGUGUCCUACCCCCCCCCCCCUUGCCUCCCCAGAGCUCAACCCCUAAACCCCCCACCACCACCACCACCCCCAGCGACGCCCCUGAGCCCCACCCUAAACUAUUGAUAUUCCCCCGCUAAAUGAGUGAUAGCCCCGCCUUAUCUCACUGAUAACACCACCCUAAAGGACAGAUAGCCCCACCCUAAAGGCAUUCCAUGUGACCAGGAAGUGAAGACAAAUAAUUUUGAGGGACUAGGUUAUAGUUUUUGAAGUUUAUGAGGGCAGAUUAAUUUUUACAGAAUAUCUAAGUACUAUUUACAUAUAUAAAAAAAUUUACAAAUAAAAAAUAAGAAGAGUAAAUUUUGAUUUUAUGGCACCUUUGAAACUAACAAUGUGCAACAAUUUGCUAGUAAAAUAGACAUUUUAGUACAUUUUAAUUUCAUGCAGACUGUGAUUCUUGCAGGUAUAUUUGGCAACCCAAACUGUAAUAAUAAUACCAAACAGUAAGAUGCAAACACAACCUUUUCCAAGCUGGUUGAUAACAUUUACAGAUGACAGAGGUUUGAUGUGGAUUUUCAGUAUUUUGGUUCUAUUUUCUUAUAGCCUCUUCCCAUUUUGUGACGCUCAACAAACUUUAAGCUCGAAUCACAGUUUCACAGUUAAAGAAUUUCCUGUUCCUCGUCACCAAGGAGUACUAAAAAAUGUCCUGGAAUGUACUUCAAUAAUAUUUUGCUCGCAUGAAUUCAUAAGAGUGCCAAUAAUCGUGGAACACACUGACACUGGCAUUCAGAAGUACCAUUAAAAUAUAUUUACUUUAUUCUUCAAGGAUACAUUAAGUUGUUCAAGAGUGAGUAUAUAUUUAUUGCACAUUAAUACAGUUAAUUUAUACUUUAUUUCCAUCAAAUAUCCUAAAAGUCAAAUGUAUCACCAUAAUACUAUAAAGCAGGGAAAUAAUGGUGCAAAUAAUGAUAUUAGAAUGAUUUCUGAAGGACACUGGAGGAACAAUGCUGAAACAUAUUUAGCUUUAAAUCACAGGAAUAAAUAAAAGUAAAACUACAUUCAAUAAGAAAAAAUGUAUUUAAAAUUGCAAUAAUAUUUAAUGCUUUUUACUGUAUUUUUGAUCAAAUAAAUGCAGCAUUGAUGGGCAGAAAACUUACUUUUUAAACAUUUAAUAUAUAUCUGCUUCCAAAAUCUCGUUUAAUUUGAUAAUUUGAUUAUUUUCUGUGUUGUUUUGCAAUUGUCUUUUUUUUUUGUUUAAUAUUUUGAGCAAAAUAUCAAAAGGUUAAACAGUUUUUCACAUCCUCCUUUGCUCAUAUUCUCCAAGGGCGUCGAUAUUAGUGGAGGACACUAUAUACAACAACUGUACUAUUUUCUCAUUAUCAUUGUUACUACUAUAUUCAUUUUAAUGUGUAUGAUUGCUGAGACUAACUCUGUGAUUCUAUGCAGUUGGAUGUGGAUAUUAAUAGAUUUAUUUGAGAUUUCAGAUUUAUUUAAGGGUUCAUACUAAAGAUUUAAAGUUUGAGGUUUGUAUGGAGUGGAAUGGCUUUACUAACGCCAAGCUGAUUUCAGCAAGUAAGACAUGUUCCUAUAAUAACAUCUACUGUAUGUUGAUCCUGGAGCAACAUUCCAAUCAGCCAAUCAGAAUUAAGGGAUUCGUUUACAGUAUAUGUUAAGUUCAGGCUUGCGGUUAGGUUUAUGCACUUCUACAUGAUUGUUAUCAACUAUUAUUCCCCUCUGAUUUCAGGAAUAAUUUGUAGUUAUGGUUGGGGUUAGGGGAAGGGAAUAGUUAUGGAUUAUAUUUUCAAGCAAAAACGAUGUUCCAGGAUCGACAUAAAUGUUAAACCAGGAUCCCAUUGUCAGCUACUUGGCAAAAUCAUGACGUGCGCUUUACUAAAGCACUGAAAGGGUGUUGAUGUUUCAUAUAUACGAGUUGAAAAUUAACACAUUACAGCUUAGACAUGAAAUAAUCGAAAGUGAAACAGGGUAUUUAUAUGAAUCUUAUUUUUAUUCUAUUAAAAUGUAUUUUUGCACUCC